GGGUUGUGAGGUUAAGCGACUAAGCGUACACGGUGGAUGCCCUGGCAGUCAGAGGCGAUGAAGGACGUGCUAAUCUGCGAUAAGCGUCGGUAAGGUGAUAUGAACCGUUAUAACCGGCGAUUUCCGAAUGGGGAAACCCAGUGUGUUUCGACACACUAUCAUUAACUGAAUCCAUAGGUUAAUGAGGCGAACCGGGGGAACUGAAACAUCUAAGUACCCCGAGGAAAAGAAAUCAACCGAGAUUCCCCCAGUAGCGGCGAGCGAACGGGGAGCAGCCCAGAGCCUGAAUCAGUGUGUGUGUUAGUGGAAGCGUCUGGAAAGGCGCGCGAUACAGGGUGACAGCCCCGUACACAAAAAUGCACAUGCUGUGAGCUCGAUGAGUAGGGCGGGACACGUGGUAUCCUGUCUGAAUAUGGGGGGACCAUCCUCCAAGGCUAAAUACUCCUGACUGACCGAUAGUGAACCAGUACCGUGAGGGAAAGGCGAAAAGAACCCCGGCGAGGGGAGUGAAAAAGAACCUGAAACCGUGUACGUACAAGCAGUGGGAGCACGCUUAGGCGUGUGACUGCGUACCUUUUGUAUAAUGGGUCAGCGACUUAUAUUCUGUAGCAAGGUUAACCGAAUAGGGGAGCCGAAGGGAAACCGAGUCUUAACUGGGCGUUAAGUUGCAGGGUAUAGACCCGAAACCCGGUGAUCUAGCCAUGGGCAGGUUGAAGGUUGGGUAACACUAACUGGAGGACCGAACCGACUAAUGUUGAAAAAUUAGCGGAUGACUUGUGGCUGGGGGUGAAAGGCCAAUCAAACCGGGAGAUAGCUGGUUCUCCCCGAAAGCUAUUUAGGUAGCGCCUCGUGAAUUCAUCUCCGGGGGUAGAGCACUGUUUCGGCAAGGGGGUCAUCCCGACUUACCAACCCGAUGCAAACUGCGAAUACCGGAGAAUGUUAUCACGGGAGACACACGGCGGGUGCUAACGUCCGUCGUGAAGAGGGAAACAACCCAGACCGCCAGCUAAGGUCCCAAAGUCAUGGUUAAGUGGGAAACGAUGUGGGAAGGCCCAGACAGCCAGGAUGUUGGCUUAGAAGCAGCCAUCAUUUAAAGAAAGCGUAAUAGCUCACUGGUCGAGUCGGCCUGCGCGGAAGAUGUAACGGGGCUAAACCAUGCACCGAAGCUGCGGCAGCGACGCUGAUGCGUUGUUGGGUAGGGGAGCGUUCUGUAAGCCUGCGAAGGUGUGCUGUGAGGCAUGCUGGAGGUAUCAGAAGUGCGAAUGCUGACAUAAGUAACGAUAAAGCGGGUGAAAAGCCCGCUCGCCGGAAGACCAAGGGUUCCUGUCCAACGUUAAUCGGGGCAGGGUGAGUCGACCCCUAAGGCGAGGCCGAAAGGCGUAGUCGAUGGGAAACAGGUUAAUAUUCCUGUACUUGGUGUUACUGCGAAGGGGGGACGGAGAAGGCUAUGUUGGCCGGGCGACGGUUGUCCCGGUUUAAGCGUGUAGGCUGGUUUUCCAGGCAAAUCCGGAAAAUCAAGGCUGAGGCGUGAUGACGAGGCACUACGGUGCUGAAGCAACAAAUGCCCUGCUUCCAGGAAAAGCCUCUAAGCAUCAGGUAACAUCAAAUCGUACCCCAAACCGACACAGGUGGUCAGGUAGAGAAUACCAAGGCGCUUGAGAGAACUCGGGUGAAGGAACUAGGCAAAAUGGUGCCGUAACUUCGGGAGAAGGCACGCUGAUAUGUAGGUGAGGUCCCUCGCGGAUGGAGCUGAAAUCAGUCGAAGAUACCAGCUGGCUGCAACUGUUUAUUAAAAACACAGCACUGUGCAAACACGAAAGUGGACGUAUACGGUGUGACGCCUGCCCGGUGCCGGAAGGUUAAUUGAUGGGGUUAGCGCAAGCGAAGCUCUUGAUCGAAGCCCCGGUAAACGGCGGCCGUAACUAUAACGGUCCUAAGGUAGCGAAAUUCCUUGUCGGGUAAGUUCCGACCUGCACGAAUGGCGUAAUGAUGGCCAGGCUGUCUCCACCCGAGACUCAGUGAAAUUGAACUCGCUGUGAAGAUGCAGUGUACCCGCGGCAAGACGGAAAGACCCCGUGAACCUUUACUAUAGCUUGACACUGAACAUUGAGCCUUGAUGUGUAGGAUAGGUGGGAGGCUUAGAAGUGUGGACGCCAGUCUGCAUGGAGCCGACCUUGAAAUACCACCCUUUAAUGUUUGAUGUUCUAACGUUGACCCGUAAUCCGGGUUGCGGACAGUGUCUGGUGGGUAGUUUGACUGGGGCGGUCUCCUCCUAAAGAGUAACGGAGGAGCACGAAGGUUGGCUAAUCCUGGUCGGACAUCAGGAGGUUAGUGCAAUGGCAUAAGCCAGCUUGACUGCGAGCGUGACGGCGCGAGCAGGUGCGAAAGCAGGUCAUAGUGAUCCGGUGGUUCUGAAUGGAAGGGCCAUCGCUCAACGGAUAAAAGGUACUCCGGGGAUAACAGGCUGAUACCGCCCAAGAGUUCAUAUCGACGGCGGUGUUUGGCACCUCGAUGUCGGCUCAUCACAUCCUGGGGCUGAAGUAGGUCCCAAGGGUAUGGCUGUUCGCCAUUUAAAGUGGUACGCGAGCUGGGUUUAGAACGUCGUGAGACAGUUCGGUCCCUAUCUGCCGUGGGCGCUGGAGAACUGAGGGGGGCUGCUCCUAGUACGAGAGGACCGGAGUGGACGCAUCACUGGUGUUCGGGUUGUCAUGCCAAUGGCACUGCCCGGUAGCUAAAUGCGGAAGAGAUAAGUGCUGAAAGCAUCUAAGCACGAAACUUGCCCCGAGAUGAGUUCUCCCUGACUCCUUGAGAGUCCUGAAGGAACGUUGAAGACGACGACGUUGAUAGGCCGGGUGUGUAAGCGCAGCGAUGCAUUGAGCUAACCGGUACUAAUGAACCGUGAGGCUUAACCUUACAACGCCGAAGGUGUUU
rnacentral:rRNA from 1 species